rnacentral:misc_RNA from 1 species
GUGAAUCAUCAAAUUUUUGAACGCAAAUUGCACUCUCUGGUAUUCCGGAGAGUAUGCCUGUUUGAGGGUCAGUUUUAAUAAAAAUCGGUGUGGUUGUUGCCUUUCUUGGUGUCGCAUUGGAUUUGGGUUGUCUUGCCUUCGGUUAAGUGAACUAUAAUUUUGCAUGAUUUUUUUCGAUGGUAUUUAAAUGAUUUUACGUACGUUUGCGAUAUCGAAUACUAGGUGCGUUAAUUCUAAUCAUUAGAGCUUAUAAUUUUUCAUCAAAAU